AGGACACACAGAGACCCUCCAAAUUACCAUUCUUUGUUUCUUAAAUGAUUAGCUGAACUAUUUGUUCCUCCAAACAAGCUAGAAACAGAGCUAGAUAUUCCAGCUGAUUGACAGAUGCCUCCUGAUGACAUGAACAUCCCAGCUGUAAAAUCACCCCCACUUGGAACUGGUUCACCCCUCCCUUUGAAAGUCUAGACAAAACCAGCUGCCAGGACAGAGGGGAAACCCAUCUGGAGCCCUGUCUUCUCCACCCAGGGAGUGAGACCCCUUGAACUCGUCAAGCUCCUUCUGUGACUGAUCGGAGAUCCCACUGUGAGUCCAGCUCCCGGUCCCGUGCUCCGGAUAUCGGUCCUUGGCAGCAUGCCAGGCAGCCAAAUGGACAGCUCUAUAAGACUCAAGCCGACAGCGGAGAGAGCGCAAUUGAACAGCCUUGGCGCAGCUUUCAGAGGAGAACGUUCUUCACCCCAACUGCUCUGCAUCUGCCUGGACAUCUGCCAAGAUCUGUGAGCACUACAGCGUUGCAGUCUUCUUUAUUCCACCAAUGACUUCGCUCGCGGUGCUUCCAGAAGCCAAGAAGUGGACUUUGCCCUUGGGGAUUUAGGAGGCAGAGUGGCGCCCCCUGGAGGCCACAUGGUGGAGGUGGCUAUGAGGCCUGGAGUCUACAAUUUAGAUUGAAUCACAGGAAGAAGCUAUUUACACAAGUCAAACAUGCUUCAAUGUUGGCAAUUUCAUAAGAUUCCAAUCCUUAAGGGAUCAAAGCCUGGCCACCUGCUUCCACCGAGAGGUGUACCUUUCCAUGCCAGGCUUGGAGCAUCCCUCUUUGUUUAAAAAGGAGAGGAUUCCGAAGCAGAACUUCUCAAGCUCUUCCACCCAAAUCCCCUCACCACAGGGACAGGAGUCCUGGGCAUGCAGCCUAAAGCAGCCAGGAGAAAAACUUUGACCUUAAUUUUUUAAAAUGAUUUCACAUGAAUCAAUGGAAUGUGUUUAUGAUAAAAUCAUCUCCUCCUGAAAUACAUGUGUAAAACUACUGCCCCAGUUAAAUGCACUUAGUCUAACCGAGCCCUAGGAUUGGCCUCUCCAGCGUGAGAAGCAUUGCCAGCACUCCAGCUCCCCAGGUCCCACUCUGGGAUCCCACCUCCUCAGAUCCUCCCACUUCCUCACACUCUCUGGCCUCUCGCUUUUGACCCUGCUCCCACCACGCAUCCUUUCCUCAGAGUCCAUCAGUCCUCUCUUGUUUUCACCUUGGUCUCUGCCAAGUGUGGGUCCAAGUCACACAUGUAGACUGUGAUCACAGGGCCUCCAAGCUCCAGAUCUCCCAAAACACCCUAUGGAGAGACCUUACCUUCCUGGAUAGGCCUUCUCCCCACAGCUAGACCUCACCCUCUGGGUAAACCCAUCUCCCCAACUAGAACUCACCCUCCGGAGUAGACCCCAUCCCCCCAGCUAGAUCUCAUCCUCCUGAACAGAUCCCAUCACCCCAGCUAGAUCUCAUCCUCUUGGGUAGACCCAUCUCCCCAACCAGAACUCACCCUGCUGGGUAGACCCUUCUCCCCAGCUAGACCUCAUCUUCUGGGUAGACCCCAUUCCCCCAGUUAGACCUCACCCCUCUGGGUAGAUCCCAUCCCCUCAG